CAUCAUGCUGUCUUCAGAUCGAUGUUUGCGCAUGGAAAAUCUGAAGGACAAGCCAAAUCUUAGAAGGUUUAUAAGAACACAUGCUGUGCCAGCACAAUUGCUUUAUUCACUGCUUUGUAAUUUUCACAUAUAUGUACUUGAAGAUAUGUAAUAGAGCAGCAGUAAGACUCUAGAAGACUGAAACUAAUCAAAUUUGUGAACAAAUAUAAUUAGAAUCAUCCAUCCUGAUGCUCUCACUUAUAAUAUGUUUGAUAUUACUAUUUGUUAUUAAUGAAAAACAUAUGUAAAAUUAAAAAAUAUUAAAUUUAUUCCUAAGAUAGCCUCCAUAAAUAUUCUAAUUUUUAUAACAGCAUUAAAAGGAGGAUGUCUUGACUGGAUUCUGUAACACGCUAUGUUCAUUAGGUUAGUACAUUCCACUGUUCCGAUGACUAACAGUUGGGUUAUGUAAAAUCAUAUUUAAAUUACUUAGACACGCCAUGAACAAAAAUUAAUAGCAAUUAUAUGAAGGUAAAAUAGAAAUAAGAAAAACAAAGCAUAAAGGGUUAAAUGAGCCAAG
rnacentral:misc_RNA from 1 species